rnacentral:rRNA from 1 species
GACGAACGCUGGCGGCGUGCUUAACACAUGCAAGUCGAACGGGAAGGCCUGCUUUCCCUUGUGGAUUGCGGGUACUCGAGUGGCGAACGGGUGAGUAACACGUGAGUGAUCUGCCCCCAACUUGGGUAUAAGCCUGGGAAACUGGGUCUAAUUCCCGAUAGGACUGCAGGGUGGUGCCUGUGGUGGAAAACGAUUUUCUAGUGGUUGGGGAUGAGCUCGCGGCCUAUCAGCUUGUUGGUGGGGUAAUGGCCUACCAAGGCGGCGACGGGUAGCCGGCCUGAGAGGGUGGACGGCCACAUUGGGACUGAGAUACUGACCAGACUCCUACGGGAGGCAGCAGUGGGGAAUAUUGCACAAUGGGCGGAAGCCUGAUGCAGCGACGCCGCGUGGGGGAUGACGGCCUUCGGGUUGUAAACUCCUUUCGACCGCGAGGAAGCCACCUGGUUGGAAGGGUGGUGACGGUAGUGGUAGAAGAAGCACCGGCUAACUACGUG